rnacentral:rRNA from 3 species
UUCCCGUGUAGCGGUGAAAAUGCGUAGAUAUCGGGAAGAACAACCAGUGGCGAAGGCGCUCUGCUGGGCCAUAACUGACGCUCAUGGACGAAAGCCAGGGGAGCGAAAGGGAUUAGAUACCCCUGUAGUCCUGGCCGUAAACGAUGAACACUAGGUGUCGGGGGGAAUCGACCCCCUCGGUGUCGUAGCCAACGCGUUAAGUGUUCCGCCUGGGGAGUACGCACGCAAGUGUGAAACUCAAAGGAAUUGACGGGGGCCCGCACAAGCGGUGGAGUAUUGUGGUUUAAUUCGAUGCAACGCGAAGAACCUUACCAGGGUUUGACAUCCUGCGAACCUCUAAGAAAUUGGAGGGUGCCUUCGGGAACGCAGUGACAGGUGGUGCAUGGCUGUCGUCAGCUCGUGUCGUGAGAUGUUGGGUUAAGUCCCGCAACGAGCGCAACCCACGUUAUUAGUUGCCAGCAUUCAGUUGGGCACUCUAGAGAGACCGCCGGUGAUAAACCGGAGGAAGGUGUGGAUGACGUCAAGUCAUCAUGCCCCUUACAUCCUGGGCUACACACGUACUACAAUGCUACGGACAAAGGGCAGCAAACUCGCGAGAGCUAGCAAAUCCCAUAAACCGUGGCUCAGUUCAGAUCGUAGGCUGCAACUCGCCUACGUGAAGGAGGAAUCGCUAGUAAUCGCAGGUCAGCAUACUGCGGUGAAUACGUUCCCGGGCCUUGUACACACCGCCCGUCACACCAUGGAAGUUGGCCACGCCCGAAGUCGUUACUCCAACCCUUGUGGAGGAGGACGCCGAAGGUGGGGCUGAUGACUGGGGUGAAGUCGUAACAAGGUUUCC